UACGGGGGGUGCGAGCGUUGUCCGGAAUCACUGGGCGUAAAGGGCGCGUAGGUGGUUUGAUAAGGGGUGUGGUGAAAGUCCGGGGCUCAACCCCGGAUCUGCCGUGCCGACUGUCAAACUCGAGGACUGUAGAGGCAGACGGAAUUCCGGGUGUAGCGGUGGAAUGCGUAGAGAUCCGGAGGAAGACCGGUGGCGAAGGCGGUCUGCUGGGCAGUUUCUGACACUGAGGCGCGACAGCGUGGGGAGCAAACAGG
rnacentral:rRNA from 1 species